rnacentral:lncRNA from 1 species
UAAUAAAAAUAUAUAACAUAAUGUUGUUUUCUCUUAUUAUAUAGGAUUUGAAACAGCAGUAACUCCAUGUGAAAGUAUGUGAGCACUGCCCUCCUGUGGCAUACAUGAACCUGCACUAUUUAUUGCACGUGAGAAUCAUUUGAGAUGUUUUAUUGUUUAACAGCUUUCUGAAUUACAGGUAUUAAAGAGCAGCUUCAUAGUGUAACUGUAAUUUAAUGUAAUGAAUACCUUUCACAUUGCACACAAUUUUCAUUCAUCUCUGUCUCUGUGUUUCUCUCUUGUCUCUUACUGUAACAGGUUUUUGUAGAGAGCUGAUGUGUUUCCUGUCACUGUGGGCACCAGAGCACAGUAGUACAGAGCAGAGUCUGAUACAGCAGCAGAAGAUAUCUCCAGAUCCACAUAUUGACUUUUCGAAAUGUUAACAGAGAAUCUUGGAUCUACAUCAGACUGCUGAGCUUCUUUUGCAUUGCUGUAGGUUUUUGUAGAGAGCUGAUGUGUUUCCUGACACUGUGGGCUGCAGAGCACAGUAGUACAGAGCAGAGUCUGAUACAGCAGCAGAGGAGAUCUUCAGAUCCACAUGAUCUUUUUUUGUAUUGUUAACAGUGAAUCUUGGAUCUACAUCAGACUCUUUAGCUCCUUUUGCACUACUGUAGGUAAGUACUAGAAAUUCAGGUUUUGAUCUUCCAUACUGACGGUACCAGUAGAGAUAAUCAUUAACUCCAGAUGCAGUAUAAUUACAAGACAAUGUAACACUUGAACCUUCCUCAGCAAAAACAUCUGUUUUGUUUGGUUUAAUGACAUUCCCAAAGACAGCAGCUGAAAAAGAAGAGGCACAUUUGUAAAUUUGUAGUUGUUUUUUAUUUUGUUUUUAAUAAAUACCC